rnacentral:rRNA from 1 species
GAUGAAUGCUGGCGGCGCGCCUAACACAUGCAAGUCGAACGAGCGAGAGAGAGCUUGCUUUCUCGAGCGAGUGGCGAACGGGUGAGUAACGCGUGAGGAACCUGCCUCAAAGAGGGGGACAACAGUUGGAAACGACUGCCAAUACCGCAUAAGCCCACGGGUCGGCAUCGACCAGAGGGAAAAGGAGCAAUCCGCUUUGAGAUGGCCUCGCGUCCGAUUAGCUAGUUGGUGAGGUAACGGCCCACAAAGGCGACGAUCGGUAGCCGGACUGAGAGGUUGAACGGCCACAUUGGGACUGAGACACGGCCCAGACUCCUACGGGAGGCAGCAGUGGGGAAUAUUGCACAAUGGGGGAAACCCUGAUGCAGCGACGCCGCGUGGAGGAAGAAGGUCUUCGGAUUGUAAACUCCUGUUGUUGAGGAAGAUAAUGACGGUACUCAACAAGGAAGUGACGGCUAACUACGUGCCAGCAGCCGCCGUAA